GAGGUUGAGCCGGAUAGCUUGGUCUAGGAUACCAGCCUGAAGCGCUGGCGACCUGGGUUCAAAUCCCGGCGACCCCA
rnacentral:tRNA from 1 species